rnacentral:lncRNA from 1 species
GGAUUUCACGGUACGCUCUGCCACACCUGCAAUUUUUGCUGUCAGUGUAAAAGUGUAAGGUUGACAAUAAAAAAAAACAUUUUUCUGUAACAUACAAAAUUAAAAAAGAUAGUUUUUUUGUAAAUGCUUUAUCUUGAUCUAGAAAAGAGGGACGAAAGAUACCAAAGGGACCGUCAAACUCAUAAAUCCAAAACAAACUGACAACGCCAUGGCUAAAAAUGAAACGGACAAACAAACAGCACACACGACACAACACAGAAAACUAAAGAAUAAACAACACGAACCCCAUCAAAAAACUAGAGGUGACCUCAGGUGCUCCGGAAGGGUAAGCAGAUCCUGCUCCACAUGUAGACGAUUAACGCCCAUAGAAGUUCUAUAACAAAUCAUGGAGGUUUGCAAUUUUAUCAGGACAAAACAGUUUAAUUCCGUUAUAUUUACAGUAAAAAUAAAAUAUUCAAAAACAAAUAAAAAUAAGAAGAUGUGGUAUGAUUGCCAAUAAGACAACUCUCAAUCAAAUCACUUAGAAAUUAACAACUAUAUGUCACUGUUUGGUCUUCAACAAUGAGCAAAACCGUUACCGCAUAAUAAGCUACGAAAUAUCACGAAAUGACAAAUGUAAAACAAAAUCAAACGAGAAACCUAACGAUCUAAAUGACGAUGACGCCGACG